CAGUGUGCAGUGUGUAGUGUGUGUAUGUUGUGUUGUGCAACCGCGGAAGUUGCAGGAGGCACAAAAGGGGGAUCUCGAACAGUGGCGUCCCGUGUAACCGGCGGCGGGGGCAACUGGCAACUACCAAAAACCAACUACCAACUGGAAACCGCCGCCGCCCUGCAGCGCCAGCGCUCUAGAAUGAGUUAUUGGCCUUGUUGGCGAUUUUAUUGCCACGGCGCAGCCAUAAAAUAUGAACUUAUCGUUUUUAAUAAAAUUAAUAAACCUUAACGCAGACUCCAAAACAAGAGGCGUUAGGUAGCAGCUUGCCCAAUUCUUCCAAUAUAUUGCGAUCAUUAUAAAGGGAUCAACUGUCAAUCUGAAUUACCCUGUUUGGUAUUGUCCGAAUCCGUGGAAUUCCAUUGCUGAGCUGUUAUGGGUAGGUCGAUAAUUAUAAUGCGACACCGACGAUUUAUUAUUUUCAUUUAUAGA